GGGAGAGGCAUGGUAGGGCGAGGCAUGGCGAGGCAAGGUGAUGCGAGGCAAUGCAAGGCAUGGCGAGGCAAGGUGAGGCGAGGCAAUGCAAGGCGGGUCUAGGCAAGGCGAGGCGAGGCAGGGUGGGGCGCGAUGAGGCGAGGCGGGGCGGGGUGUGGCGAGGGAAAGCGAGGUGGGGCGAGGGGAGGCGAGGUGGGACGAGGUGAGGCAGGGUGAGGCAAUGCGUGGCGAGGCGAGGCGAGGCUAGAUGGGG
ensembl:lncRNA